rnacentral:rRNA from 1 species
GCUAGUUAGCAAUUAUACAGCGAAACUGCGAAUGGCUCAUUAUAUAAGUUAUCGUUUAUUUGAUAGUACCUUACUACUUGGAUAACCGUGGUAAUUCUAGAGCUAAUACAUGCUAAAAAUCCCGACUUACGAAGGGAUGUAUUUAUUAGAUUAAAAACCAAUGCCCUUCGGGGCUCACUGGUGAUUCAUAAUAACUUCUCGAAUCGCAUGGCCUUGCGCCGGCGAUGGUUCAUUCAAAUUUCUUCCCUAUCAACUUUCGAUGCUAGAGUAGUGUUCUAGCAUGGUUACAACGGGUAACGGAGGGUUAGGGCUCGACCCCGGAGAAGGAGCCUGAGAAACGGCUACUACAUCCAAGGAAGGCAGCAGGCGCGCAAAUUACCCAAUCCCGACACGGGGAGGUAGUGACGAUAAAUACUGAUACAGGGCUCUUUUGGGUCUUGUAAUUGGAAUGAGUACAAUUUAAAUCCCUUAACGAGGAACAAUUGGAGGGCAAGUCUGGUGCCAGCAGCCGCGGUAAUUCCAGCUCCAAUAGCGUAUAUUAAAGUUGUUGUGGUUAAAAAGCUCGUAGUAGAACCUUGGGCCUGGCUGGCCGGUCCGCCUCACCGCGUGCACUGGUCCGGCCGGGCCUUUCCCCCUGUGGAACCUCAUGCCCUUCACUGGGUGUGUGGGAAAACAGGACUUUUACUUUGAAAAAAUUAGAGUGCUCCAGGCAGGCCUAUGCUCGAAUACAUUAGCAUGGAAUAAUAGAAUAAGGACGUGUGGUUCUAUUUUGUUGGUUUCUAGGACCGCCGUAAUGAUUAAUAGGGACAGUCGGGGGCAUCAGUAUUCAAUUGUCAGAGGUGAAAUUCUUGGAUUUAUUGAAGACUAACUACUGCGAAAGCAUUUGCCAAGGAUGUUUUCAUUUAUCAGGAACGAAAGUAAGGGGAUCGAGACGAUCAAAUACCGUCGUAGUCUUACCAUAAACUAUGCCGACAAGGGAUCGGAAGAA